AUGACAGUCAUCCUCAGUGCCUUCCUGUCAGUAUUUUCAUGGCUGCCCUAGAUCUGAAAGGAAAUUGAACGCUGAAGAACUGAAAAACCAAGGAGAGAAGCGACAGAGCUCGCAGCUCCCAGCAGAGGCAGGCCACUCCUAGGACUGAAUAUUGCAUACAUUGUCAGAUGAGGUCACUCUAGUGGAGGACCCAUUGAGAUUUAGGUCUGGAAGUUGCCUUGAAGGUCUUCUACUCCAACCUCCUCCUAUUUUCCAUGAGGAAACAGGCCCAAGGAAAGGGACUUGUCCAAGGUCACUAAGGGAGAACUCUAGGUGAAGAAACUCCCUCCACUAAUCCAGCCUGGCAUCUUCUCUGCCACUAAUAGUGUGCCCACAUCACUGAGAAGUGAAGUAACUCAGCUACAGUCCCACAGCCGGUCUGUGCAAGAAGCAAAACUAGAACUCGGUUCUUCUCAUCCGACCUCGAGGCUGGCUCCCUGCCCAUGACACCAUGCUGAAUCCUAGUGAAGCGUCUGCUGCCUCCCGGACUUUGUUUGCACAAGGCAGGUCCUACAUCUUCCAUGACUCAGCCCCUCCAGCGCUCCUCCAGGGAACCUGGCCUCCCCAACCUCUCCAGUCCAGAAGUGGGGGAGUACAAUGGUGGUGCAAGACAAUGGGGUGAGUCAGCACCCCUGGGAUGGUCUCCCAAACCUUGGCACCCACAAGCCACCAUGCUGGUUCAUCAGGAACUCCCCCCGCCCAUCAUGGAGCCUGUCUCCCACAACCCCCCACACUCCCGGGCCUCCCUCGGGUGGCUCAUCACCACUCUCAUUUCCAUCGUGACCAGCCCAUUUUACAGAUGAGGAAGCUAAGACCCGGGGAGGGAAGUGCUUUGCAUCUCCUCUGAUCUUCCCCAUGACCCUGAGAAGGCAGGCACCUGACAGAAGCGCAAACUGAGAGUCAUCAAGGUGAAGUGACUGGCGGCGGAGCAUGGAUUGGAAUUCCGAGUUUCCCCAGGGUAGACUGAGGGGUCUGGACUGCGCCAUUUAACUCUAGAGAGGCCUUCCUGCCUUCAAUCGUCCUGCGCUGCCUGGACCCCAGCCUCUGUCCCUCCCACAAAAGGGGGUGCACCUCCAUUUUCUUGGGGUGAAGAGGCCCCCUUGUGGAACAGUCUCUGCUCCCGAUGGAGGAGGAAGGGAGGACAAAGGAAGGAAAACACCAGGGAAGGCGGUUUAUAAAAGAGCAGGCGGCUGGCUCUGGCUCGGGAAGCCCCAUCCCGCUGGCCUGCCCGCCCGCCCGCCCGCCCGCCCUUGUGUGUUACGCUGUAAUUGUCAUAACUGGAGGUGAAAUACACCAGACUCCUGGCUCCCCGGAACAGGUAAUUAGACUGGUAAUCGCCUGUUCCAAGCGGAGGGGAUUAGCUGACUAAAUACUGCUCAAGGGAACAGACUCAUUAUUUAAUAUCAGCCUCAUGUUGUGGCAGAGGCAAAACCCUAAACUUUACAUGAAAAAGUGGUGAGGUCGUCUCCCCUCCCGGCCUCCCUGCUGCGGCCUGGCUGCUCCCGGCCUGCCUGAGGGACCGAGGCAAAGGGAACCCGGGCACGUGGCUGCCCAGCUGGAGCAGGAAAGGGACAAAGCCCCUCAUCCAGGCAGGGAGGAGAGGGAAGACCACAGGGCCAGGGAUCGGAAGGCUGGCCUGAGAGCUGGUCCUGCUGCUGCCUGGCUCCACA